rnacentral:lncRNA from 1 species
UGCAAAAACACAUUAUUCCCAGAAAUGCUUGUGUUCUGACCUUGCUCCAGAAGGUGCAAAAAUGAGCAAAUUUCUUGCUAUAUGUUUCUGAGAGUUGAACAUCUCGCUUCAAGACAUUGGUGGGCCCAUAUUUGGUCUGUUUGUUGGAUCCAUAUGCCUCAGACUGAGCUUCUCUCGAUGCCAUUAUGAUCUCAGAGACACGCAGAAGCAGGGCAGAGUUGGCCCAGCAGUGCGGGAGGACCCAGGGGAGCAUGCAGCAGCCGCUGCGGCUCUGGAGUUCAAACAAGGGUUUUCAGCCACGGCAUCCCCCAAAGCAGCAACUGCCAUCUUCAGAACGAAGUCAGCAGUGGAGGCUUACCCAAGGCGACAAUGGAGGCCUUUGUCCUGGAUUCCAGAGAUGCACCACGACGCCAAAUGCACAGCCGGGAGAGAGACUGUAUCCCCUGGGCCAGCUUCCUUACUUCUGCCUUCUCUCUGUUUUGUUCUGGUCCUUGACUUAUUUUCCCCAGAAACCCCACAGCUAUCUGUCCCAGCUCUGCUUUCUCUUGUCUGGCCUCGGUGUGAAUUGUCAGUCUCUUCUCAGUGUGGUCCUGCUUCUGGGGGUGGUCAUGGGGCUGGGGAUGCUGUGGACCAAGAGGGAGGAGAAGGUAAGAGAAAAGAAGUCCUCUCUGCGGUCUGAUCCCUCACUCAGUCUGUUUCCUCCAUGAAUCAUAAUCUCCCAGGAGCUCAUCUCCUAUUAUGCUAAUGGAGUGUUUGUCCCAUUGCCAGACUUGAAUGACAUUAUACAAGGUCUGGCUUUGAGCUGUUGGAAAUUGGAAUUAGAGCAGGAGGGAAGGAUCUUGCCCACAACAUUUGAAACCUUGAUUUUAAAUUAAUUAUACAUAAUUAGCAUAAUUUAAUUACACUUAGGACAGAAGUUUUCAAAGUAUGUUCUAAGGAACCUAAGAUUCUGUGAAGAUCUUUGGGGAAUUUUGCAAAUGUUUUA